UACUCGUUAAUACAAGUGGUGCGAAUGAAAUGAAUUUCAAUGAGACGUAUUUAUAGAAUUUCCGGAAAAAAAAUCAAAUAAUCGAGACGUCCGCAAGGACGUCGCGGCGGACGUCCCAGGAACGCCGCCAAACUCCGGUAUCCGCAGCGGACGUCCGUAUCCGCGUCACCCUUGCACAAUGGCGGACAGGCGUCAUUGUGGCUUAAACAAAAUAAAAUAAGCAACCAAAACUCCCUUUCCCAAAAUUACUCACGCCUACCGCUUCUUUCUCUCUGUCACAUUUUUUUCAAGAAUACACCCAAUAUGAACUCAAACAAAAAAUCCGUCGGCCCUCUCAAAAUCAAAACAUAGAAUUGAAUAGAAAUUAGAGCUCCAGCGUCCCGCACCAAUCGACCGGUCACCGUCGCCGCUCCCUUCGUCGGCUCACUUGCGGCCUCGAUCCACCCCGAUUAGCCCCGUUUCCCCAUUAAAGAUUGGGAACGAAUUGGCUUGAACUAAGGAGAUUUCGGCUUCGGUUCCCUCCGCUCUCAGUUUCUGUUGUCGAACAAACUUCAAGUGUGAUUAUCAAAAUUUGAGUGUGGUGAGACGGAUUGAGUUUCGGGAUUUACCGCAGUAGGAUCGGCUCGACGACGAGAGGUUAUUAUUGCGUUGUCACAUCAUGGUACAUCCACCAAUAUAUUAAUAACUAAUUAUGUUGCAUUUGUAUGUGGCUUGUCGUCUACUUUUCUAUCAACAACUAAAUUCCCCCCAAACAUCAUAUAGUCUUGCGUGUGUUUCGAUCAUCUUUACAUCAUGUUGCAUAUUGAUAAACUUUCUUACGAAAAGACCAUUCAGAAAUUGAAUACUAACUAUACCCACAUUUUUUAAAAAAUUGUAUUCUAUAAAGUUGGAAUUAUAAACAUUAUAA